rnacentral:lncRNA from 1 species
UCAGAGAAGAAAAGACAGGGGCUGUGUCUGUAACUCACGGAACCCAGUACUGCCUCCGCCAUCUUGCAGCCAGGGAUGACAGGUGAAGGGGUAACAGAUGUGAAGAGAAGAGGUAUGGCUUCUAAGUCACUUGCCAGCACCCGCUUUAUAACUGCCUCUCCACCUCAUCCCCACACAGAGCACACACCCUAAGCCCCAAGUGGUGGUAUUGCCACCAGGCAGCAUUGUCUGAAAACACAGCCUCUCCAUCAAAUGCUUUCACUAUUGGACACAGAAUGCUUCUCUAUCUCUGGCAGGGCAGACAUUCAACGACCUCAUGGAUUUUCCUUUAUGUGUAAUCCAGUGAAAAAUAUGCCUUUGUCUUUCAUUUUUCACCCCGAACCUUAGAACGGGACUCAAAAUCUCAUGGCCAUUCACAUCACUGCCAAAGGUUUCUAUUUAUCUGAGUCUAUAACAUAUCAAUAACUGCCCCCUGAGGGUGCAUUUGGCUUGGAUUGUAAACCCCAAGUGUCUAAAGAGAGAGUCUCUGUAAAAUCCGUAGGAUUUAUCUGGUGAAGCACUGCAUCCUUAAUAAAAAAAAAAAAAAA